rnacentral:Y_RNA from 1 species
AGCUGGUCCAAAGAUAGUGAGUUAUCUCAAUGGAUUGUGCAGUUACAGAUAGAACUCCUUGUUCUAAUUUUUCCCUGCUUCUCACUACUGCAUUUGACUAGUUUUUU